UGCCGACUGGGUGUCUGCACUAAGUUUGGAAUCAUUAUGGUGACCUCCCAGGAGUGGGGAACCACUGGGUUGUCUAAGGUGGGGUGAACAUGCCCAGGUCAGAAAUGGAGCAGGUCAAAACUCCCAUGCUAAUCAAUAAUGGGAUUGUGCCUAUGAA
rfam:Homo sapiens chromosome X, GRCh38 reference primary assembly.